CCCCUCUCGGGAUGGCAGCUGGAGAGUUUCCAGUCCUCUACCAGUCUCGGCUCCAGGAGGGAGAGUCAAGCAGAGGCCUGUCCACCCAUUCCUAGCUUGGAUAGUAGCUAGUGAAUGGACGACAAUCUGCUACAAGU